AAAUGCUACUGAAGGGCCAGUGAUUGUGUCUGGAGCUCAGGGCCUCUCCUCAUGAUCAGUGCAUGAAAUUAGGGAUUAAAAAGCCUUGGUAGAAACAAAGUAAUCAUGCCUGCUUAUGUCGCCAUACGUGUCCAACCUGCUCCCGGUUACAAAGAGCAAAUGGAAUGCAUUAGCCAACAUUUUGCUCUGAGCUACACAGGGACCAUUUCCAGUGGGGCAUGGUGUGUCACUCGUUUCCCAGCACGUUAAGUGGAUGUUCUCCUGGCUAAUGAGCAAUAAUCAACAUUGACUCCUCUUCUUAUUUCUGAGGUCCAUGCUGUGUUAAAUGCUGAGGGUCUCCCGGGCACACUGUAGCCCUGUAGUACUACUCAACUGCAUAAAAAGCAAUGGGUAAUCUACUCAACACAAGAAGCGUUCAUUGAUCUGGGAGAAGGUGGACGGCAGUACCGGGCGGCUGAAAGGGUCCGGCCAAUGGAGCCAUCAGAGGUUCAUGUGUGAAUGGGGAGAAACCAUGGAGUAAAUAAACACUAGAGCAGCCCAUUGGAGAGGGCCAGAGGUGCCCUGUGAAAGAGGAGGCCGCUGCAAAUAAAGGGGAAAUAUUACAGGAACAUUCUUCACGUGUCAGGGGAAAAGCUGCAUCCACUCAUCUCUUUACCAUGUCAAUCUGCCUAUAAAGCACUUACCAAGGAGAUGAGCACAGGGGUGGGUUUAUAAAAAACGCCUGGCCUCAUAGCUGCUUCCAACAGCUGCGCACUUUUACCAGCCUGAUGUCCCCUCUCCGCACCCUCUCCACUCACACGUCACUAACAGAGGCCCAGCAAACCAUCAGCCCUGCACUUUCUCAGCUUUGUACAUUAGUCAGCGGUGUAGCACAGAAUUUCGCCACCUCGUGUGAACUAAUAAGACACAUUUUCUCCGGCUUUUGAGAGGAUAGCAAGAGAGUGAUGUCUCUACAUCACCCGACACAGCAGAGGCCUUGUACAACAGUGCCUUUACACUCCGAGCAUAUCUGACAAAUGCCAAUACUCCGGCUUUCACUCAUCACUGUUAAUGAGAGGACAUAUUUUGGACGUUUCCAAUAUUUGUACAGACUUCAUACAUUAUGAAGGCCCUUUUAUUCACAGUACCAGGCGGA